GCCAGGUGUGGUGGCUCACACCUGUAAUCCCAGCACUUUGGGAGGCUGAGGCAGGUGGGUCACCUGAGGUCAGGAGUUUGAGUCCAGCCUGGCCAACAUGGUGAAACCCUGUCUCUA
rnacentral:SRP_RNA from 2 species